CCCAAUGCCAGCUUUGCAUCGCCAGAUGGAGCCACCCAGACGGAGUGCAGGACCAGGAUGUUGACGGAGUUACCGUCAUCACAUCUAACGAUAUCCUGAAGAAGACAAUUGACAGUGGUACCUUAUGUGUACAUUUUGAAGAGCUCAGUCAGCUGUACAAUGAAAAGCUCACAUCUGGAGGAGAAGAUGGGCGGAUCCUACCCUUACCAGGCAGAAGGGAAAUGGGAUUCUGAUGGAGUCCUGGAAGACGGCCAUCGGGGAUCUCUACAAGAGGGAUAAAGAGGAGUGACAGGGAGAGCAUCCUCCAGAGCUCAGGCCUCCCCUUGCAGUACCUGUUGACCUUUCUGAUGCUUAGGGACCAAAGCAUCUUCAAGAAGAGAUCUAUAUGCACGUAGUAAGAAAG
rnacentral:lncRNA from 1 species